rnacentral:lncRNA from 1 species
ACUUCACAUGGCGGGAGAUACCAUGACAAAGAUUUGGUUGUACUUUCAAGCUCAACCUGCACUGAACUAGGAAUGUUCUGUGUGAAGUGUUAGUUAAGACUAAACAACUUUGGGAAACUCACUCUGGAUUGUCACUCACUCUGGACUCAUCAUUUUCUUGUCUGAGUCAUCGGUCAGAUUAUAUACUCCUGUGGGGAGAAGGAAGUGAAUUUCUCUCUUAAGGAAAUGCUUUCUUUUCCCACCAUUGAUCAUCCUGGAGUAGAAAAGGGGUGUUGGAUAUGGGAGGGAAAGAUUUCCUCCCUUUUUUGGGGAACUGGGACAUGAAGGGGAAAAGAGAUAUUCUGCUUGUGUAGGUUGAGCAGUU